rnacentral:rRNA from 1 species
UACGGGGGUGCGAGCGUUGUCCGGAAUCACUGGGCGUAAAGGGCGCGUAGGUGGCCCCUCAAGCGUGCGGUGAAAGUCAGGGGCUCAACCCCUGAUCGGCCGUGCGAACUGGGGAGCUUGAGCACUGUAGAGGCAGGCGGAAUUCCGGGUGUAGCGGUGGAAUGCGUAGAGAUCCGGAAGAACACCGGUGGCGAAGGCGGCCUGCUGGGCAGUUUUGCUGACACUGAGGCGCGACAGCGUGGGGAGCAAACAGGG